CCAACUUUACACAAUAGAUAUACCAAGAACUUAGCGGAGGCACAGAGGGGACUGAGCCUUUUCCGUUGCUGGUCCCUCUCUUUGGAAUGACGUCCCACUGAACAUUCGGCAAGCCCCCUCGCUGCCCAUCUUUAAAACUCAUCUCAAAACUCAUUUGUACCCUUUGACAUUUGACUCGGCAUAUCUCAGACUUGAUCUUAGAUUUACUGUUUGGUGCUUUCUACUGUCUUU